CGGGGUGAGUAACGCGUGGGUAACCUGCCUUGUACAGGGGGAUAACAGUUGGAAACGGCUGCUAAUACCGCAUAAGCGCACGGCAUCGCAUGAUGCAGUGCGAAAAACUCCGGUGGUAUAAGAUGGACCCGCGUUGGAUUAGCUAGUUGGUGAGGUAACGGCCCACCAAGGCGACGAUCCAUAGCCGACCUGAGAGGGUGACCGGCCACAUUGGGACUGAGACACGGCCCAA
rnacentral:rRNA from 1 species